CCCCUGUUUCCUGUUCUGGGACAGCAGCAGCACAAACCCAGAAAUUCUUCCCUCACUCUGUUGAACUACCUCACAGUGUAGAGCUCCGAUAUUGAAGAAUAAGAUAUUUUCUGUCCAGUGGAAGAAUUCAAACAUGUCGUUCUUCAGCCUUCUGAAGGUGCUCGUGGCUUCAUCAUGGCUAGGAUCCAGUAUCGCCCAGAAAGUAACUCAAGUCCAACCUGCAAUGUUAGUGCAGGAGAAGGAGGCUGUGACCCUCAACUGCAGAUAUGAUACCAGUGACACCAUUUAUAGUCUAUUCUGGUACAAGCAAUCCAGCAGUGGAGCAAUGAUGUUUCUUAUUCGUCAGGAUUCUUAUAACCAGCAAAUCGCCACAGAAGGUCGCUACUCAUUGAAUUUUCAGAAGGCAAACAAAUCCAUCAACCUUGCCAUCUCAGCUUCACAGCUGCAGGACUCUGCAGUGUAUUUCUGUGCACUGAGAGAGUCCACAGUGAGAAAUGUGCUGGAGGGAGGUGUGCAAAAACUCCAGGACUCUGCUUGAUACAUACACCUGCUGUAGGGACCAGGGUGUGGAAUUGUCAUCACAGGAAGUGGUUAGGGCUGUGCCAGUAAAGGUGUACAGUUAGAAAGAAAAUAGUCACUCUAAGAACAUGCUUUUUAGGUUCAUAGACCCUGUCCAUAGUUAUCCUUCAUAAAAAACAUCCUUAUCCCUGAAUCAUUGGCUUGAAAUUGUUUCUUGAAGACAAAGAACAGCCACAAAAAAACAAUUUGCCAUUUGGUGAUCAGAUUGAGCUAGAAGAAUUGACUAAGGAAAUUCAGAGACAUCUGACU